GGUCUUCUCUAAGUCAGGUUGCUUGGGAAUACAGCCCAAAGCGGGUGGUAAACUCCAUCUGAGGCUAAAUACGGGCACGAGACCCAUAGCCAACAAGUACCGUAAGAGAAAGUUGAAAAGAACUUUGAGUUCAAGAGGGUGUGAAACCAUAGAGAGGUAAACAGGUGAGGUCCGUGCAGUCCACCCAGAGGUUUCAACAUGACAGGCAGGUUGCCGGGAAUGGUGUAUCUCCUCCACAGGGUGCAUUUUCUCCAUGGCAGUUCACGCGACUGACUCUGGGUCAGCUGGGAAGGCCCCAGGGGCAGGUGUUACAGCCCUCUGUCAGCAGUUUCCCCAUGUCCGUGUGGGAGAUUGACCACAACCAUGCACUCCUCUGGCAAACGUCCCAGCCCCUCUCUGGGGUAAAUGGAUAGUGACCAGGGACGUGGCCCACUGCUCCUGGUGUGACUGUUGACUGGGGUGUACUGCCCUCAGUGUGCCCCAACCACGUUGCGCUGCUGGGUAGGGAGGCCCACAAAGGGCACCAGAGGUCUGUGGUGAUGUUGGUUACCAAACCAACCCAUCUUGAAACACGGACCAAGGACUCUAAUACGUGCGCGAGUCGGAGGUCCGAACGAAACCCUUAGGUGCAAUGAAGGUGAGGGCUGGCACGCAAAAGCUGAGGUGGGAUCCUGUUGCGGUGGGUGCACAACCGGCCUAUCUCGCCUGCUUUGUCAGGGAGGUUAAGCAUGUGUGAUAGGACCCCAAAGAUGGUGAACUAUGCCUCGGCAAGACAAAACCAGAAGAAACUCUGUAGUAAUCCUUACGUGCAAAUCGGUCGUCCGACCUGGGUAUAGGGGUGAAAGACUAAUCGAACCAACUAGUAGCCGGUUCCCUUUGAAGUUUCCGUCAGGAUAGCUGGCGCUCAGAAACCCCAGGUGUAUCUGGUAAAGCAAAUGAUUAGAGGUCUUGGGGCCAAAACGCUCUCAACCUAUUCUCAAACUCUAAAUGGGUAAGAAGCCUGGCUUGCUGGUGUGGAGCCGGGCAUGGAAUGCGAGUGCCCAGUGGGCCACUUUUGAUAAGCAGAACUGGCGCUGCGGGUUGAAUGGAAUGGUGGGUUAAGGUGCCCAAUGGUGACACUCAUCAGACCCCAGAAAAGGUGUUGGUUGAUAUAAACAGACGGACAGUGCCAUGGAAUCGCCUAAGGAGUGUGUAACAACUCACCUGCCGAAGCAACUAGCACUGACAAUGGAUGGCACUGGAGCGUCGGGUUCAUACCCAGCUGUCAUCGGUGCUGAGAGAAUCGGGGGUUAAACCGCGAUGAGUCGCAUACACAGAAGCCCAGGGCAAGGGCCCUGGUGGAAUGCAGUAGGUGAAUAUCUUGCUGGUAGUAGCAAAUAUUCAAACAAGAACUUUGAAGGCUGAAGUGGAGAAGGGUUCCAUGUGAACAGCAGUUGAACAUGGGUCAGUCGGUCCUAAGAGAUCAUUGAGCGCUGUUUGGAAGGGAUGGGUGAUGGUCUCCAUUGGCCUCAGCCAGCUGAAAGGGAGUUGAGUUCAGAUCCCCGAACCCGGAGUGGCAGAGACAGGUGACCUCGCGACCUCCAGUGCGGUAAUGCAAACAAUCCCGGAGAAGCUGGCUGGAGCCCCGGGGAGAGUUCUCUUUUCUUUGUAAAGGGCAGGGUACCUUGGAAUGGGUUCGCCCCGAGAGAGGGGCCCGAGCCUUGGAAAGCGUUAGGGUUUCAGCGGCGUCCGGGUACCUCUUGCUGCUGCUUGAAAUAUGGGGUAGAUGGUGUAAAUCUCACGUCUGCCGGUGUAACCCACUCUAGGGAAAGGGGAGUUUGACUCGGGCGGUACACCUGUCAAACGAUAACACAGUGGUCCUAAGGUGAGCUCAGGGAGGACAGAAAUCCUCCACAGAGCAGAAGGACAAAACCUCUCUUGAUCUCGAUUUUCAGUAUAAAUAAAAGAUCCCGGCCUGACAAUCCUUCUGACGUUCUGGGUUUCAAGCAGGAGGUGUCAGAAAGGCUAGCACAGGGGAAACUGGCUUGUGGCGGCCAAACCUUCAUAGCAACGUCGCUUUUUCAUUCUUCGAUGUCGGUUCUUCUUAUCAUUGUGAAGCAGAUUUCACCAAGCAUUGGAUUGUUCACGUACUAAUUCGGAACGUGAGCUGGGUUUAGACCGUCAGACGGGUUAGUUUUACCCUACUGAUGAUGUGGUGUUGCUAUAGUAAUUCUGCUCAGUAAAAGAGGAACCACAGGUUCAGGCAUUUGGUGGAUGUGCUUGGCUGAGUAGCCAAUGGGGCGAAGCUACCCUCUGUGGGAUUAUGACUCAAUGCUUCUAAGUCAGAAUCCCCUCUAAACCGUGACAAUACCACAGCGCUGUGGAGCUUUGGUUGACCUAGGACAGCCGGCCUCUGGGCCGGUGCAUAGAGCAACUCGCCUUGAGACUCGAAUGUGGACAAAAGGGGGCCAUCUCUCUCACCCUAGUGCACCGCAUGUUCCUGGG
rnacentral:rRNA from 1 species